rnacentral:lncRNA from 1 species
AUUGUCAAUUUUUUAAAAUGAAAUCUUUUUCAUUCAGUUAUAUGUUGGACUUUUAAUUCAAAGUCUUUUUGUUUCUUUGUUUUUGUUUUAAAUUUUACUCACAAAGGUUCUAUACAAUUCUAACUAUGCUUAUUUCUAAGUAUUAUAAUUUUUAUAUUUGAAUUGUUCUCUUAGCAAUCAGUCUACUUGCAUUGUACUGCCACAUUGCUAAGGAGAAAUGUUAACCAUGAUAAAUAAAUUAUUCUAUAUGAAAACCAUGUGAGAAGCAGUUUGAACAUAAUUAGGGUCUGCAGUUUGGAAAGAUGCCCCUGAGUUCUGACUUGGAGUAUUUUUUGACAUCACCAUUGUGUUGUUUGUUUUCCUGUGUGUGUGUGCAUCUUGCUCCUCUCUCCCUGUCAUUGUACUCUCCACAGGAUUUUUCUCCUGACAUUCACGCAUGCACCCCCACCCAUCUUGGCUUAUGUAGAAAAUUACUGCCCAUGUCUUUGAGAUGCAUUCUUGGAACACCCAGAACAAAUGCUCUUUAUACCCAAAAGUCUUAGUUUAAAAUCAGACAAUUCAAACAGAGCCUUUAGAUUUGUGGAAAUCCAAUUAUCCACUUUUAUGAGAUAUCAUCACAAACAGAUGAAAAUAUAUUCAUAUGCUUUAAUAUAUAUUCAUAGGUAAGAUUUGUUUGUAAUUUUCUUUUUUGCUAUCUAUGGUUUUGUUCUAGAUAAUGCUGGUUUCAUAAAAUAGAUUGUACACCUUAUGUCAUUUUCUGAACUCUGAAACAAUUUGAAUAGUGUGAUAGAUGUUAAGCCCUUGAAAGUGUGAAUUUACUUCUCAUGAAAAAUAAUCUACAAGUUGUACUUUGACACCUGUUCCAAUUCCUCUCUGUUCAUGCAUUCAAGUUGUUGAAUGCCUGCCCUCUGCCAGAAACCAUAUUAGAUAUGUUUCAGUUUCUACUUAUCCUUGAUUCAAUUUGAAGUAAUUAUUUUGACCCAGAGAUUCAUCAGUUUCAUUGAGAUAUUCAAAUUGAGUGAAGUUAUGCAUAAUCUUCUUUUAUAAUUUUUGAAUCUCUUCUAAUUUGGAUUUUUGUGUUUUCACUUUUUUCAUUAGACUUGUCAUAUGUGUAUAUUCUAUUGCUUAUAUGUAGAGAGUUUGUCUUGAAUAUCUCAGUUCUGCUUUUUCCCUCUAUUUUUAAGUAUAUUAGCUUCUGAUCUUAUUAUUUACAUUUUUCUAGUAUAUUUAUACUUAUUUUCUAAUUUCUUAAUGAAUCUAUAGUAAUUGUUUUCUUCAAUAAUGACCGUAUUUACAGCCAAACAUGUAUCUCUGGUAACUGCUGUGGCUGCAUUUUCAUGUGUUUUUAUAUGUAAUGUUCUACGUUUUCAUUUUAUAAAUAGUUUGUAUUUUUAUCGUAAGCUUAAAAUAUAUUCAGUCAUUUUAUGUGUCACAAAAGAAACAGACACAUUUAAGCUAGCAAAAAACUUUUCAUACAAAGCCUGUGUGUCUUCUGGCUUUGAAUAAUAACCACAGUCACUUGAAAUACUUUAAAUUUUAUGUGAUUAAAAUUAAGGCCUAGAAAUUUAUUAAUGGAAUACUUCAAACCUAAAUUUUAUUUUUAAGAGUCUUUAUCCUCCUAGACUGAUUUUUUUUUGACUAAUUGUGUUCUCUAUUAAGACAUAAGUUAAGUUUUAUUCAUCUUUUUAUUAUCUAAGACAUGUAUGCUUACAGGAACAUAAUAGGUUUGCAUAAAUUUUAUUAAACACAUAAAGGCAGUCUAUAGAAAAUAUCGUUUUCAGGACAAGAAAUAAUCAUCUACUUUAGGAAUCUGAGUAACCACUGGAAAUCUCUGUGUUCUAUUAAUCUGAACAGUUGCUAUUACAGGCAACAGAAAUGCAAAUUUGUUUGAGUAAAUAGAGGGGACUUAGGGUGGCAUAUGUGGGUUAACAGGCACCAGGCAAACACAACAGGAUCACAAGCGAUGUUGUCAGGAUCUAUUGUCCUUGCUCCAUCUUUUGAAUCUGCUUUCUUCUGUGUUGGAGUUCUUAAGGCCCUCUGCUCAUGUCAGGAAAGAUGUCAAUAGCAGCUACAAGCGUAUGGGAUUUACCAGCUAGCAAUUCCAAGAAAUAAUAUAUUUCCCAAGUAAAGCCACUAGGAAGGCUCAAUUCAGCCCAUUUCUGACUCAAUUCCUGAGGCUGGGAGGAUGAGCUCCUCUAAGAUUCCAGGCCUGGGCAUGAUCACACCUCUGUAAUGAGGGCAUGUUCACACCUCUGUAGUGAGGUGUAAUGACGGGGGCAGCUCUCCUCCACCACCUGGGCUGGUGCCCAUCAUGUAGGAAGGUUUGUUUCAGAAGACCAGAGGAUGAAUAUUGGGGCAGGCAACAGGUAAGAGAUGUUUGCAAAAUCAUUGUUUUCAUAAUUUUGAAUGUCCUAUACUUUCAAUUGUAACAUGAUUGCCUGACAUCAAUUCAAAACCCUGAGCUCCCUAGAGAGCUCAGUUGGUGUUGCUGUUCUCUUUACUCUUUCUUUAGCCAUGAGCUUCAACUAGUUCUCAGCUCAAGUCUUACAGCUCCUCUUUUGUUUCUUUAUGUUGAGGAGCGGGGGAAGAUUACAUUCAACUUCAGACAGCUUGGAAAAAGUUAGAAGCAAAAGAUGAAUCUGAAUGCUGUCUGAUAGUCCAUUUUUAAUCAGAGGAGAGCAAUUUUCCCUUCUCAAAGAAUGUCUCUUCACAUCAGGUAUUUGGCUUCUAGGUGCUUGCUGAUUAAUUACUUACAUUUACAUAACAUUAAUCUCCUUUCUAACAAUUUAGCAGGCUUCCAGCCGUUUUCCCCGCCUCAUCAGUCUGGCAGAACAUCCUCGAUCUUAAAAGAGCCACAACUACUUUUGCAAUGUGUAGAUUUUGAAAACUUACUUAAAUAAAACAGAAUAAAAAUCUUAAGCAAAGCUAUAAAUGAUUAUAUCUUCCAUGUAUAUUAGGUAGAUAUCUGAAUGAAAUGCUUGGUCUACACACUUUAUUUUGAGUUGUGUAUAUGGAAAAUAUCUUCCCUUCUGUUUUGAAAUUCCUUCCUUGAAUUCUUUCCCAGAAUCUUAUUCAUUCAUUCUAAGCUCAGCUCCAAUAACACCUCCUUUUGGAGGACCUUCCAGAGCCUCCUGGUCACUUGAUAUCUUUCAUUACAAUUCCACAUCACUAUUUGGGAUUACAUUCAUGCAUUCAUUCAACAGAAAUUUAUUGAGCUCUUCCAAUGUUAACCCCUAUGUAGGUGCUGGGGGCAAAAAUGUGAUGAAAAACAGAAAUAGUCUCUGCUUUCCAGAACCCUCAGUCAAAAGGGAUGUGUAAGGUAUAGUGACUGUGAUGUCACAAAGAUAGGAAUUUAGCCAGGAGGAAAUACUUGCAUUAGAUCUUGAGGAAUAAGCCCAAGUUCACCACACAAGUAAAGAAUGGGGUUGGCAGUACUGUCCUUACAUGGGCCAAGAAGGGUACCCCAUGCUUUCAGGAUCCUGCUGUGUCCUUUCUCUAGCUCUGCACCACCCUAUGUUUCUGCUUUCUAGAACCGGUUUCAACCACCCAGUGCCCCAGAGUUCCCUACCCAAACAUCCCCAAACUCCCUUCCAGGCCUGCACUGGACUUUUCCCCAAGUCCGUACUCUUAAAGGCCAGAAUGUGCUGAUAGUGUGUGUACCCUAGGCCCAAGCUUUGGGGUGAUGUUGGGGAGGGUGAGUGGAGCUUAGAUUAAGUGGUCCAUACAUCUAUACCCAAAAGCGUUUGUUGAAUUGGAGAAAGCCAGGGAGCAGAGAGCAGUGGAGCGGGCUGGCAUAUUCUACAGCAGUAAGUUCCAGCAUGGAAAAAUCCAAGGAGCCUGAAAAUUCUAAAUCUGAGCUUGGCCUUCAGGUGUGCUUCCAUUUAUGCUCUUGCCUUGGGCUGCAGAAAUGUUAGGGCAGGCCUGGAAGCAAGGCACAGAGAUGGUUCUGAGCCGACAGAAGAGAGACAGAAAGGUCCAGAGGUGUAAUUUGGGAAUCCAAUCACAAGCAGGUUGGUGUGACCACAGAAUGACUUGGAAAUUGGCUAGUUAUGCAUGUGUUCAUCUUUCCCUCCAGACGGUAUAUUCUCUGAGGUCAAAUGCCAUGGAACAUUCAUUCCUGUGUUUGGCAGAACAUUUUAUACAGAGUAAGCCCUCAAUUUAUGGUAGAUGAAUUCAUGUUGAACUAAUGAGGUGAUAUACAUUACUUAGAGGGAAACCACAAAUACACUUACACUUUCCACCAUUAACUUAUCAUUAAGACAGCUGUAGUUAAAUCAAUAAUAAAACCUUAAUUUAUAUCAACUGAUACAUGUUACAUGUGGAGUGGGUCUAUGCUAUUUUGGUUUAGUCACAGAUAACUGGUAAUAAGUAAAAUAAGAAAAACAAAAAUGUGGCUAAUAUGCAAGUGUUGUGUCUCAGUUUACUUUUCUAAAAAAUAGGGGCUUAUUGUGCUAACCCAAGCCACUAUAGGCAGGAACGUGACCAUGCAUCGAGCACUCAGAGGGGCAGGCAUUCUAGGAGAUAGAUCUCCAAUGAGAGCUUGGCACCCUCUGACCCUCUGACCUGUUCACAAGGCCCAGCCAUGUUCACUGUUGAGUGCAGGGUCUUUCCAACACAGUUUAGAAUGAAUUGUAUGUGUAAGAUUUCUAAGUUUUUGAAUGUUCUUUUUUUCUUUCACAGGCAUAAGGCAGCCAAGAAGGAUGAGCCGGUGAUCUCUGCAGUCUGCCCAUAACUCCACACAAAACUUUACCCAUUGUCACAGGAGAGUAUAAGCAUAGCAUAAAGAUCCUCGUAGAUGGACUUUCAGCUCCAUGCUUAAAGCAACUGACAAGAAUCCAUUUCUUUUCAGUGUACAAGUGAAGGGUAAAAGACAGAGAAGGAAGAUAGAGCAUAGGAAAAAGAGUGGGGUGAUAUUUGUCCAUUCAUUUGUUGAAGAAAUGGUUAAAUAAAGGAAUGAAUGACUAAAGACCAGGUUGGCAGGUGAAAGCCAGGGCAGGGGCCUGGGGCAGCAGGCAGAGACACAGCUCUCACAAAUGCAAGAGGAAGACGAAUCAGGCACUCGUCUGUUCUUCAAAGGAUACAGAAUGGUUUUAUUGACCACCUGUACAUGUGAUGGCUUUCAUCCUGGAGGAGAAGGGCAUAUCCACACCUACCGAAUAUCUGUUUCACAGGCAAUGUGCCAAUUAUUUACAUGCAUAAUCUCAGUAAAUCCUUAGACAACUCUGUGGAGGCAUUUACUGAUAUCUCCAUUUUACCCAGGAGGACACUGAGGUCCAGAGAGAUUAAACCAUUUGUCUGAGGUCACACGGCCAGUGAAAUUUUGAUGCAGGAUUUAAAUCCAAGUCUGUCUCUUACCACUGUAUCAUGCUGUUUUCAGAGGUGAGGGGAGGUGUCUUAAGAGUACCAUAUGGCUUCUGCCACUGGGGAGACCACUGUCAAAUUCCAAGAGGAAGAUCAUGAGGGUCUCAACUGAAUUACUGAAGGGGAGAUUGUGUGAGAAGAGACAGAUUUAAGACUUAUCUGCAGGGUAGAAAUUGGAUUGGUGAACUUAAUACAAUGUUUCUUUAUUCAUUCAUUUAUUCAUUUCAAUAUUCACUGAGUUUUAUUAUGUGUCAAGACACUGCAUUUAGUUGGCCCAGGGAAGAAUAAAUGUGAAUAGGACACUGCAUUCAAUGAAUGCUGAUUCUAGAAUGAGCAGCAAACUAAAUCCAGUAAUGAUAUUACAGCAUCACCACAUACUUUCAAUUCUACCUCUUAAAUAUCUCAAUCUAUUUCUUCUUUUCUACCCUCACUGACAUGUGGUUCACAGACCUCAUUAUCUCUCACCCGUUGCUGUAGCAGUCUCAUACCAGGCCUUCCCAUCUUGUAUGUGGCACUAACUCGAGUAUAAGGCCAUUUCAUGGUUUUCUGCCAAGAAUUGUUUUCUCAGCUCAUUGGCAAAACAAACACAGCUUCAGUUCCUAACCUGAAAAGUUUAUGCAUGAAGAAUUUAAAAUAUUAGUAAUCUUUUAUUUAACGUAUAUUUUUUGAACACCUACUAUGUGUGAAGUCUUGAGCAGGCACCAAGUAUGUCACUGCAAGAGGCAUGGCCUGUCUUUGAGGGAGGUACAGACAAGUAAAUAGGCAACCCUAAUACAGUGCUAUAAGUGUAAAUGCCUAAAAUAGUUUAAUGGGGUAAAUUUUGGUAGAAUAUAGGAGGGGCAUUUCUUCCAAACUAAGAGUCAGAUGGAGGAAGUGACAUUUAAACAAAAAAAAUGAGAGAAAUAUGUAUGUUUGGAGAUGCUCUCCAACAGAACCUUUCAUCCUACUCAAAAAUAUUUUGAAUGUAUCUUUUGAGAUAUAGGGAGCUAGAAACAUUAAAGAAAAUAUUGUGCUAUUUUUUUCUGGAACUUGAAAACAGAACAGAUUGUAAGAUGGGGAAUGUUUCCUCACUAAUGACUUUAAUAAAAACUCAAAAUCUACUUGUCAGCUUUAAUAUUCAGAGGCAUGUUAUGAGGGCGCCAACUAAAUUGUAUCUUUCUAAUCCUUUUCUCAGUCAUCUUUUAUCCUUCCUAUCCCCUUUGUUGAAAGAACUGCCAAAGCUAAUUCCCUAUCCUGGAGUUUAGGUUGAUAAAUGGAAAGAUUAUUUCCACUGGGAAUAUUGAUAGGCUCCAGGUCUUGACGCUUGGGUUUUGAAAGAGGAUGCUGCUUUUGUUAAUGGAAAUUCAUGAGUACUUGGAACACAGUGAUACAAUAAUUCCUAAGUCUGGGGUCAACAGGGACCUAUGUUUGUUGGCAGGAGGCACCGGCUCAAAUCAAAUCAGCAGUAACAUUAAGACCAUCAAAAUCAAGAGCUCUUAAAGUGGUGCCAUAUACAAGUUUGAUGCAUAGCUAUAAAUGAUGUAGCUGCUUGAAGUCACAGAAUCUGUCUGUGGUGCUUUUGUUACCUCUACUUUCUCCAUCUGAACUGAGCUGAACACCACCUAAGUCUGAUCAUGAGUUUCCUGUUCCAUAAUGGGACCAACACCAAGGACUCUGUCCACUGAUUUGCUGCAACCAUAACAUUUGCUCCCCCCUUCUCUUUUUCAAGUAUUUCUCACAAUAAAAUAAGUACUUCUCCAUUCCACAGUUGGGAUAUAUAUUCAAAAAGUUGAGAUAUAUAUCUCAACUGUAUAAUGACAGGUGACUUUUUCCCUUACUUUAUAAAUUGAGGUUGAAAAGUUAACUAAUAUGGAGAUGAGUACAUACCUACUAAGUUGGAUCUGGGAUUUAAAUCCAAAGUGUUUGACUCCAUACUCUGCGCACUGACUUUGUUACUCCAAUAUAGAUCGGGCAGCAAGCCAGACAAAAAUCCCAGCUUCAGUUUCUGGCUCAUGAGGUUGACCAACAAUAUUUAAGUUAAAAUCAGUG